AGUGAACGCUGGCGGUAGGCCUAACACAUGCAAGUCGAACGGCAGCACAGUAAGAGCUUGCUCUUACGGGUGGCGAGUGGCGGACGGGUGAGGAAUACAUCGGAAUCUACUUUUUCGUGGGGGAUAACGUAGGGAAACUUACGCUAAUACCGCAUACGACCUACGGGUGAAAGCAGGGGAUCUUUGGACCUUGCGCGAUUGAAUGAGCCGAUGUCGGAUUAGCUAGUUGGCGGGGUAAAGGCCCACCAAGGCGACGAUCCGUAGCUGGUCUGAGAGGAUGAUCAGCCACACUGGAACUGAGACACGGCACAGACUACUACGGGAGGCAGCAGUGGGGAAUAUUGGACAAUGGGAGCAAGGCUGAUCCAGCCAUACCGCGUGGGUGAAGAAGGCAUUCGGGUUGUAAAGCCCUUUUGUUGGGAAAGAAAAGCAGCAGGUUAAUACCCCGCUGUUCUGACGGUACCCAAAGAAUAAGCACCGGCUAACUUCGUG
rnacentral:rRNA from 1 species